rnacentral:tRNA from 1 species
GCCUCAGUAACUCAGCCUGGUAGAGUGCGAGUCUCAUGAGCUCGACGCCGCCGGUUCAAAUCCGGUCUGAGGCA